rnacentral:rRNA from 1 species
AGUGAACGCUGGCGGUGGGCCUAACACAUGCAAGUCGAACGGCAGCACAGUAAGAGCUUGCUCUUACGGUUGGCGAGUGGCGGACGGGUGAGGAAUACAUCGCAAUCUACUUUUUCGUGGGGGAUAACGUAGGGAAACUUACGCUAAUACCGCAUACGACCUACGGGUGAAAGCAGGGGAUCUUCGGACCUUGCGCGAUUGAAUGAGCCGAUGUCGGAUUAGCUAGUUGGCGGGGUAAAGGCCCACCAAGGCGACGAUCCGUAGCUGGUCUGAGAGGAUGAUCAGCCACACUGGAACUGAGACACGGUCCAGACUCCUACGGGAGGCAGCAGUGGGGAAUAUUGGACAAUGGGCGCAAGCCUGAUCCAGCCAUACCGCGUGGGUGAAGAAGGCCUUCGGGUUGUAAAGCCCUUUUGUUGGGAAAGAAAAGCAGCAGGUUAAUACCCCGCUGUUCUGACGGUACCCAAAGAAUAAGCAACGGCUAACUUCGUG